rnacentral:lncRNA from 1 species
GUCUAUAGAUUGUUUGGUGGAAUAGUGAAAUAGAAGUUAAUACGUUCUUGCUCAAUCUUGUGUCGCUUUGAAGGUGUCAUGAUUGUCAUCCUUAGCCUAAGCAAUGUGUUACUGUAAUUUGAAUUUCAAAAUGACUAAGCGACGUUUUUUUCGACGCACUGUUCAACUCCACCAUAGAGAAUGACAUGACUUUGACAAUCAGUAAAUUCCAGCG